rnacentral:tRNA from 1 species
GCGAAGUUAGCUCAGCUGGUAGAGCGCCACCUUGCCAUGGUGGAGGUCGCGGGUUCGAAUCCCGUACUUCGCU